AGCCAUGGCCAUGUUGCAGGUCUUUUAUUCCUGUGUAGACAUACCUCAAAUGCCUUCCAAUAGUAUAACAAAUUACAUGACUAAUAUCUGUAACAUGUAGUUUCCAGUUCUUUGGAAAAAUAUCAAUUUAGAAUUCUCUACUGCACUUAUUUUUGGUUUUAUAAUCAAAACAAUUCUGUAAUAUUUUCAUUUUUCUCAAAAUUCAAUUUUGAGAACUUAAGUUUCCUAAUUUUUACACUGAUUUAUAGAGUUUUGAAUAGUCAUUUCUCAGAACCGAGUUACCUGUGAAGUUUAUUGCCCUAUUUCAUGCCCAACCACAAUUGCAUAAAGCCGGGCCCUGUGUUUCCUCAGUUAAUCUGUCCCUGUCUAGUAAUAAUUUUCAUUGUCUUUGCUGGCUUCAAUCAGCAGCUGUAUUGAAUUAAUUCACUGUAUCCAUGUGAGAAAUAUUCUUAUCAUGAUUUUAACGAUGGGGAAAUUGAAGCACCAAGGGAGUGAUUUGCCUGAGGUCAGACAAGUCUUUGCCAGAACCAGGAGUACAACUCAGCUGUUAGUUGCCAUUCCUAGGCUUUAGCCAUUAAGCUACACUACUUCCAUUUUUCCUACCAGAAGCAUGUUGUUUUUUAAAUUAUUUUGAUGUCACAAACAAAGUUACGGUUGCUACUUAUUACAAAGUUGCAAGGACUCUGAGGAAGCACAAAUUCUGUUUCUCUGUGUAUGUACUUUCUUUAAUAACAUGACUUAAAAUGUCUUGUAAACCAUAUUCUAGUGUGGUAUCUGGUAUACUUAUUAAUUAAAAAAAAUAGUAAAGGUAAAGAGAGAAUAUUUUCCUUUACUUUUCCCAAGCCUGUCCUUUGAGCAACUUGUUUCCUCUGAUUUUUUGUUGGUAGAAAUGUGUCUGCUUCUUGUUGACAUGAUUUCAGCUUUUUCAACUACAGUGAAACUUGUUACAAACUGGCACUAACGGCAUUGCUGUUUGUAUUAGCAAGACCCCACUGAAGGUGUGGUGUUCUGCUCUGGCAUCAGCUCCAUCAUCAUUAGCAUUAAAAGUUUUGUUAGCCAAAUUAUCCCCAUAAUUUGAUAGCCCUGAUCUGUCUAGUGGAUUUGUAAAAGAGCAGCCCCAUCUUAGCCCACAUCUACACAAUGGACCUUACAGCGGCACUUCUGUACUGCUGCAGUUGUGCCACUGUAAGGUCUCCUGUGUAGCCACUCUAUGCAGGUGGGAGAGAGCUCUCCUGCCAGAAUAAUUAAACCAUCCCCAACAAGUGGCAGUAGCUAUGUUUCCAUUUUUGUAAGUGAAACUUGGGCAGGGGGCUGUUUUUUUUUUUAAACACCCCUGACCAACCCAAGUUUUGCUGACAAGAGCUUGUGUUGACAAAGCUGUAGUGAAUUAACUUAUUGAUGCACAAGUUAUGCUGGUUCUGCAAAGCUGAGCCAAACCAAAGUAAAAUCAGUAAAAUAAUGGCAUUGUUCUAAGUGCCCCUGAUUUUAUCAUGAGUCUUGCAGGGUUUGGGGUUUGUUUUUAAGUGCUUUCCUUAAACUGCUUUAAUAAAAAAAAAAGGGUUCUGACCCUCACGUUUAUGCAGCAAAACUAGAACAUGUGCUGUGACUAUCCUAAAAGCCAGAAGAUCUAAUAUCCCUAUUGAUUGUUUUUUAUACAAGUCUUCUGAUUUAUUAGGGCCAGAACCUACAACCCCACACCCACACUUUCACAACUACAGAUCCCAGAAGCCUAUGCGGGCAGAGACCUGCGCCGCAACGGGGGCCCUGCCCAGUGUUUUCCCGCGGAUUUUACGUAAUCCCGGAUCUAGGCGCGGGAACUCUGGGAAGGACUCUCCGUCUCCUGACCGCAGCCUGCGGGAGCUGGGUCCAGGGCGGCUCCUUUCGGCGAGUCCCGAGGGGCGUGAGGCGGGCUCUGCGGAGGGUGGCGCAGGGUCUGCCUCGGCAUAGAAUGCUCCCGCCGGCCGGCGCCAUCUUUGCUGGUUGGGGGUAAGAGGGGAUCGUGUUCCCGAAAGGCAGCAGCGCCCCGUCCCUCAUUCAAGAUGGCGACGGCGGGGUGAUUGACAUGCCUAGUCACGUGGGCACUAGCGGGAUGGGUCGGGUGCACCAUGGCCCUGGCUGAGGUAGUAGUUUGUGCUGUUGGUCGGGUUGUGACAUUGCCCGCUGUGGAGAUAACUGCGCAAGCUACUGCCUUGCUAGUGCUGGUGAUGAUCGGCUGCAGAUGAAGACAAUGACAGUGGGAAUCCCCUUUGUUUUCCCGGGAUUGCAUGCUGAUGGGGUGGCAAACAAUUCUUCCCCCUCCUCCUCCUGCAGAAAUUGAGCCUUUCCUUGGCUACUGAAAUGUGAGUGAUUCCUUUUUACACCAGUGAGAUAGAUAUUGCUCUGUUGGUGCAGCUGGAUGGAAGACCAUUAGUUUGCGGCUUUUUUUACACUAUCUUAUGGAAUUUUGGCUGAAGAGCCAGUACAGUAUCUGCUUCUUUUAAUGCUUAAGGUUAUUUUUGCCAGCCACCUUUUGAAGGGGAUGGCUCUAAUGUAUUCUGAAGACAUACAAGUUAAUGACUGACUGGUAUUGUUUCUGUGUAUUUUGAAUAUAUGUUGCUUGAAAUGUUGUAUUUGUAUUUAAAAUCACAAGUAUAUAUUUAUACUGAAAAACUAUGGAUAUUGUCUGGGACAAGCUAAUAUGUAUGAAGAGCAUUUCAUUGCUUAUUGGGAAGACAGUAUUUGUACAAUACAAGCUAAUUAAUUUUAUUUUGCUUAACGUUUACAGAUUUCUUCUUCUGAAUCUUUAAAAUGUCUGGGGUACAUUUUGAUUAUUUCACAGUAAAGCAAAUUAACCUAAGAAGUAUGGAUGGCAUAAAUUCAUAUUGCUCACAUUUUUUAUCAGAGUGCUGAUUGAGAGAUACUUUUUGUGAAUUUUAAUAUGUUGACCACGCUUAAUGGUGUGAAUCUAAAAUGUAUUAAUAUGCUUACAAUAAACAUAACUUUGUCUUGUAUUGAGAAUUUAGUUCUUCAAUUAUAUGUCCUAUAACACUGAAUUUACAUUAUUUCUGCAUGUUUGCUAUUCUAAUUUCAUUUGAUACAUCAGAAAAAAUUGUCAAAGCUAUGACUAAUUUUUUUAAAUAAAGCUAAUGCCUUAGCACU